CUGAUGUUAAACAAACAAUACUGUCCUCAUCCAGUUCAAACAAUGUAAUGACCAUAGAGGUUUUCUGUGGCAAUCAUAAUGGAACUUAUAUAGCCUGAAUUUAACAACAUACCAACUGUAAGAGUAAUAGGAUCAUUGUAUAACCUGCAUUUUACUUUUACUCUUGUGCUGUUGUGUCACUAUUUAGUAUUUGAAUGAUUUAAAUGUGUCUCAAUGUUGAUAUGAAGGAGGUGUAUUUUAUUUAACUUCAUGAUCCUCCUUACAAUUUAGCAGGAGAGACAAGUGAGGACAGACAGGGACAGACAGUGGAUGAAGGAACGGAAAGAGGACUUUGGUUUGUAAUGUUUGACCAGGGCGACCUAUACUCUGACUUCAGUCAUGAAGACGUGGACUUUGUCCACCACCACUACCAAUUGAGUGGAGGCAGAGUGGGAGAGCUGAGGUCUGCCAAGACCUACAGCAAAGAUUCCUAAUGUCAUGGUGAAAUCCCAACAGGAAGGGUUUUUUUUUCAGUUUCUCACCUGAUUCGCAAGGGUACGUAUUUAAAUAAUACUUUUUAAAAUUAUAUUUCAUUGGAAAU